AUGACGGACGGCAACCACCGAGGCAGUGACGAGCUUGCUGCCCUGGAGAAGGUGUUGCUGGAUGAAAGCACGGAUCCAGUCAAUCUACCUUUCUCGCUUCUCAAAGCCAUUACAGGGAAUUUCUCCGAAUCUCACGAAAUCGGUAGGGGCGGGUUCGGGGUGGUCUACAAGGGAGUGCUUCCAAGUGGUCGCACCGUCGCCGUGAAGCAGCUCUUCGAAAGGUACGAGAUCCUCGACAAGACUUUCGAUAGCGAGAUUGACUGUCUUGCGGGCCUCAAGCACAAGAAUACGGUGCGAUUUCUUGGGUAUUCCUCCGAGACGCAGUAUUUACGAAGGCUGUGCGACGGGAAGCUUCAGUGGGUAGCCAAGCGGCAGAGGCUGCUCUGCUUUGAGUACCUGCCCAAAGGGUGUCUUGCUGGCUAUCUCUCCGAUGCAUCUUGUGGACUUCAUUGGACCACACGUUAUCAAAUAAUCAAGGGGAUCUGUGAGGGCGUACAUUAUCUUCACCAGCACCGCAUUAUUCACAGGGACCUCAAACCUCAGAAUGUACUAUUGGAUGAUAACAUGAUUCCCAAAAUUGCGGAUUUCGGACUAUCGCGACACUUAAGUGAAAGCCAGAGUCGGGAUAUCACUGAAAACAAGUUUGGAACAAUGGGAUAUAUGGCACCAAAAUUCUUUAAUAAGGGAGAAAUCACCUUCAAGACAGACGUAUAUAGUUUGGGUGCUAUAAUAAUGGAUAUUCUUAUGGGACAAAAGGAAUGCUCCGAUGUUAAGGAGGUAGUUGAAAGUUGGACGGACAAGUUUGGGACAUCAAAGAGUCAUACAUCACAGGAAGAAGUAAAGUUAUGUGCUGAGAUAGGGAUAAAAUGCAGGAACUAUGACCCCCGGAACAGGCCUGCUACAUGGUCUAUCAUCCAUGGAAUACUGGAUGAAGCGGAAAUUUCGAACUGGUCUGUUACAAGUGAUGUAGCUACCUCUACAGAAGGGCAGAUAAGACUUGCCUCCAUGCGGGCGGAUGAGCUGAAGUUGAUGGAUGAUUCUGCUACACCAUCCCAACAACAAGCAUCAACGCUGGAAGUGGGGCAGGAGGGUGGCAAAGUGAGCCAAGAGAGGAAAAGGAAGUCAUCAACCAUAAGCUUCUCCAAGAUGGCAGAUGAGUUAAGGUUGAUGGGCGAUUCCGCUGCACCAUCCCAACUGCAACCUUCGGCACUGGAGGUGGAGCAAGAGGAUGGCAAAGUGAGCCAAGAGAAGAAGAGGAAGACAAGCUUCUUUGGGCUGGCGGAUGAGAAGAAGUUGAUAGAUGAUUCUGCUGCACCAUCCCAAUUGCAACCAUUAGCGCGGGAGGUGGAGCUGGUGGAUGGCAAAGUUAGCCUAGAGAGGGAAGGGAAGGCAGCAAGCGUGAGUGUGGUGACUGGGGUGAUAAGCACCCCCAGUGGCAAGCUUGCCACAUUAAUGUGCGAUGAGUACAAUAAGCACAAAGAGGUGAGGAAGCAGGUGUCCUUCCUUGAGAACGAGUUGAGCAGCAUAAACGCUGCCCUUGAGCAGCCGGAGCUCAUGGAUGAGCUCGCUGUAGUGGUAAAAAAUUGGAGGGAUGAUGUCAGGGAGAUUUCAUACGACAUGCAGAAUUGCAUUGAUGACUUCAUGUGCCAAUUUGGAGGUGAGGAUGCCGAGGUAGGUUUAAUCGAGGAGGUUGCUGAACUUCACAAGAGGUUGUCUGAGCUUCAUGGAAUUGCCAACCAGAUGGGAGAGCUUAGGAGUCUUGUGGUAGAAGCAAAUGCUCGGCGUGAGAGUUACAAGAUUGAUGAUUGCAAUCCUAGCUUUGGUUAUGUGUCUGUCGACGCUCGUCUGCGAGCGGUCUACCAGGAGGCGACCAAUCUUGUGGGCAUUGAAGGCCCUAGCAAGGAGGUUGUUAGUUUGUUGAUGAAUACUCAGAAGAAACUAAAGGUUGUGUCCAUUGUUGGUUUUGGAGGCCUGGGUAAAACUACACUUGCCAAACAGGUGUUUAACAAGAUAACGGGGCAUUUCGAUUGUUUGGCAUUCUUUUCAGUUUCGCAGAGGCCUGAUUUGAGAAUGCUUCUCAAUCGCCUACAAUUGAAACUUGGGAUAAAUGUCUCUUCUCACAAUUGCGGGCUUGACGACAUCAUUGAAAAGCUAAGGAAGUAUCUCACAGACAAAAGGUACCUUAUUGUAGUUGAUGACUUGUGGGAUCAAUCAGCAUGGAGAACUAUUAGUUGUGCUUUUCCACAAAAUGGAAAUGGGAGUAGAAUAAUUUUAACCACACGAGUGGAAAAUGUGGCUAGCAUAGCCUGUAACAAUGACCGUGAGUGCAUUUACACAAUGAAGCCCCUCAGUGAACAUAACUCAAGAAUGUUAUUCUCCAAUAGAGUAUUUGGGUCUGAAGUUGUUUGUCCACCCCAUCUUAAAGAUGUUGCGGCUGAAAUUCUGAAGAAGUGUGGUGGUAUGCCGCUCGCAAUUAUCACUAUAGCUAGCCUAUUAGCUACUCAAGUGAAAUCAAGGAAACACUGGGAGAGCAUAAGGAAAUAUUUGCGUGUCCAACCUGCCACAAAUCCUUCAUUGGAAGAGAUAAAAAGUAUAUUAAACCUUAGCUACAAACAUCUUCCUCUUCAUCUUCGGGCAUGUUAUUUGUACCUUGGUAUGUAUCCCGAGGACCACAUCAUAAUACGGGAUCAGUUGGUUAAACAGUGGAUAGCUGAAGGCUUGGUCAGCAGUUUGCAUGGGCCUGAUUUAGAGGAUGUUGGCAGGAGUUAUUUCAAUGAGCUAGUCAAUAGAAGCAUGAUUCAGCCAAGCGAAAUUAGCUACGGAGAGGUGUUGUCUUGCACAGUACACGACAUGAUGCUUGAUUUGAUCCUAAGCAAGUGUGUAGAAGAUAAUUUUAUAAGUGUGGCAUACAAUUCUGAGGACAUGGCAAGACUACUGCAUCGCUGCAAAAACAAGGUUCGCCGAUUAUCCCUGAGCUCCAUGGCUGUUGGUGGAGCUACAUAUGACACGGCUAUUGCUGCUAGGCUGUCACGAGUUCGAUCAUUACUGUUCAAGAAGGGGUGUAAUCCUAUACUCCCUCUUUUGUGGUUCAAGUACCUCAGGGUUCUGAUCCUUUUGAAUGAGCGCUAUAGAUGGAAGAUAGUUGACCUCACCGCUGUUAGCCAGUUGUUCCACCUGAGGUGUCUGAUGGUAAGUGUUUAUGUGGAGAUAAAGCUCCCUACUAAACUUGGUGAGCUUGUUUACUUGGAGACAAUGGACAUAGAAAAUUGCAAACUGCUGGAGAGAAUCCCCUCGGAUAUAGUUCGUUUGCCCCGCCUGUCCUAUCUGCUGCUUCCAACUGAGACAAAGCUGCCUGAAGGUAUCGGGAAUAUGAAAUCACUGCGGACUCUGAGAGGGCUUGACAUGAAAAAGAGCUCGCUGGAGUGUUUUAUGGGUCUCGGUGAGCUGACCAAUCUGAGGGAUCUGCGUAUGUCAAUAGAUAUUGGUUUGGAGUUGCCGAAAGUUGAUGCUUUGGCCUGUUCCAUUGGAAAGCUCUAUAACCUUGAAUAUCUGUUCAUCUCUGGCAAUCUUGUUGAGCGUGAGGAUAGCCAGCAGCUGGGCUCAUUAUUUAAUCCUCUUCAACAUAUUGAGCAUCUUGAAUUGCCUGAUUGGCGGUUAUGGAGAGUUCCAAAAUGGUUGUGUGGUCUCCACUGCCUGCGCUUCCUUGAGUUGUAUGUUGAAAAGACAUCAACUCAGGAUGUUCAUCUGCUUGGAGAGCUUCCCUGCCUCGUCUACCUGGAUUUCGAAGCAUGUGAAAUCCCUGAUGAAAGAGCUAUGUUAGGCGCGGGGCUAUUCCCAGUUCUGGAGUCCCUAAAAUUCUGGUCUAGCGAAGACACUACAGCGUACCUGGGCUUCGAGGCAGGUGCUAUGCCCAGUUCACGAACACUUUGGAUGGCUGCGUGCCACUGGGGCGGGACUGCACCAGUCGGCAUGGAGCACUUGUUACACCUCCAGCAGAUCCAAGUGCGUGGGGUCUGCAAUUAUAAGGAUACUGAUGACGCAUUCAAGGAGGCCUUGCUGAUGCACCCUAACCGCCCUUCCGUCACAAUUCAUCCUUUAUAG
rnacentral:rRNA from 1 species